UUUAAAACAUUCUUGCGCAUCUUUUAACAGAUGGAUCAGAUGAAAAGUACGAAAUAAUUCAUGGUGGAAUUACAGCUCCUUAUAUCUUGACGGUGUCUGAUCUGCAAUACAGGGAUUCUGGGUUUUAUUACUGUUGUUUUUCAUCGAACUGCUCAUCAAGUCACCCCAACAAGGAUAACUGCCAGCGAUUUAUUCUUAACGUUGAAGGGGAAGGCCUUCUUGGUGGCUCCGUACUUCACUUAUGCGACAUAAAUCUGCUUGGAAUGUUGCUUUUAAGCAUAGUUAUGUUGUACGCAAGGAACGAGCUUUGAUCUCAACAAAUCAAGAAGCAGGGAAGAACUUUUGCAUCGUAUCGUGCUUGGCAGUACUUGAAGACUCAUUGUAAAUGAUGUCUUUUUGUUGCAAUUUAUCUGAUGUAAUCGCACGGGAUUUUAUUUCUUUUUGUUCCAGCAUGCUAUAUUUUUU